GCUACAGUGGCCUUCAAGGACAAGAAGCUAUUUGCUGAAGAUGUCAUUGUCCACGACAACUUCGAGCAUUGCUAACAAGUCAAGCGAUGAGAGUCAAGUACUGGAGGUUAGAGGAGGAGGAAGAGGGCGAGAAAGAGGGCGAGUUAGCGGUUCUGUUGCAGGCAGGGCCAGGCGAGGGAGGAGAGCAAACACCAGCACUGCGGAAGCAGGGCAAAAGGCUGGAAACCCUCUGAAGGGACCGAAGCAACUGAGAAACUUCUUGAAGAGAUGACCUUGGAGGAGUACAGGCAGCUCACCAGUGAACUGCUUCAGAGGCAGCCAGGGUUCAUUUUUGAUGCCUUGAUGAUGCAUCAGUGCAGGCAUGGUGUCCCACCGUUUGCUGGAGUGCCAGGGGUACCAUGGAGUAUUUAUAGUAACUGUACAGACAUGCCUACGGACCGGGAGAGGAAAUGCUGUGGCCAGUACCCUGCAGAUUGUGUAAUAAUAAUACCGCACUUCUCCCAGUACUGUCUUGAAAAUGCUUUUUAUGCAUUCACAGGCGGUACUGGGAGGACAUUAUGGUAUUUGGCCAAACCAGGAAGCCUGGGGAUGACAACCGGGAGUACCGUUAUGCUGUAGGACCAGGGACAAGUUCCCUGGUCCUCCAGAGACAUCACACUGGUUUCACACCUGGCCUCUGAGUUUCCCUCCAGGUCCUCUGGAACGUCCACACAGUAUCUCAGGUACUCACACACCUGCCUGUUCAUCAUCAAGGCAUCAAAUCAUCUCAUAUUUAUUUGUUACAUUUCUGA